rnacentral:rRNA from 1 species
CGGCUACAGAACGACGCUGGCGGCAUGCCUAACACAUGCAAGUCGAACGAAGCCUUCGGGCUUAGUGGCGCACGGGUGCGUAACACGUGGGAAUCUGCCCUUCGGUUCGGAAUAACAGUUAGAAAUGACUGCUAAUACCGGAUGAUGACGUAAGUCCAAAGAUUUAUCGCCGAAGGAUGAGCCCGCGUAGGAUUAGGUAGUUGGUAGGGUAAUGGCCUACCAAGCCGACGAUCCUUAGCUGGUCUGAGAGGAUGAUCAGCCACACUGGGACUGAGACACGGCCCAGACUCCUACGGGAGGCAGCAGUGGGGAAUAUUGGACAAUGGGCGAAAGCCUGAUCCAGCAAUGCCGCGUGAGUGAUGAAGGCCUUAGGGUUAUAAAGCUCUUUUACCAGGGAUGAUAAUGACAGUACCUGGAGAAUAAGCUCCGGCUAACUCCGUG